rnacentral:ncRNA from 1 species
AAAUAAAAUUUUUAUGUUUUAUAAAUUUUAUUUUAAGUUUAUUUUACAUAUAAAUUUUAGUAUGAAAUUUUAAUUAUUUUAAAAAUAAUUAAAUUAUUAUUGUAGUAAUUAAUAUUAAAAAUUUAAGAAAUUAAGAUUUAGUAAUACAAAAAUUAAUAACUAAUUUUGUGCCAGCAGUUGCGGUUAAACAAAAGUUAAAUUAAAUUAUUUCAGUAUAUAAUAAAUAAAUUUAUUUUAAAAUAAAUAAUAAAUUAUUAGGUAAAAUUUUAAUUUAUUUAAAUUUUAUAUAAAAAUUAUGAUUUAAUAAAUUUUAAUAUAAACUAGGAUUAGAUACCCUAUUAUUAAAAAUUUAAUUUAAAAUACUAAAAUAGUAAAUAAUAAUUUAUUGAAACUUAAAUAAUAUGGCGGUAUUUUAGUUCAUUUAGAGGAAUCUGUUUAAUAAUUGAUAAUCCACGAAUAAAUUUACUUAAUUUAAAAUUUUGUAUAUCGUUGUUAAAAAAAUAUUUUUUAAUAAAAAUAAUAUUUUAAAAUUAUAAAAUAAAUUAAUUCAGAUCAAGAUGCAGAAUAUAAUUAAGAAUAUGAUGGAUUACAAUAAAUUUAUUUAGAUGAAUAUAAUAUUUGUAAAAUAUAUUUGAAAGUGGAUUUAAAUGUAAUUUUAUUUAGUUUAAUAAAAUGAUUAUAAAUUGAAAUAUGUACAUAUUGCCCGUCACUUUCAUUUAAAAAUUGAAAUAAGUCGUAACAAAGUAGAGGUACUGGAAAGUGUUUCUAGAAUGAU